UACGAACGCUGGCGGCAUGCCUAACACAUGCAAGUCGAACGAGACCUUCGGGUCUAGUGGCGCACGGGUGCGUAACGCGUGGGAAUCUGCCCUCUGGUACGGAAUAACAGUUAGAAAUGACUGCUAAUACCGUAUAAUGACUUCGGUCCAAAGAUUUAUCGCCUGAGGAUGAGCCCGCGUCGGAUUAGCUAGUUGGUAAGGUAAAGGCUUACCAAGGCGACGAUCCGUAGCUGGUCUGAGAGGAUGAUCAGCCACACUGGGACUGAGACACGGCCCAGACUCCUACGGGAGGCAGCAGUGGGGAAUAUUGGACAAUGGGCGAAAGCCUGAUCCAGCAAUGCCGCGUGAGUGAUGAAGGCCUUAGGGUUGUAAAGCUCUUUUACCCGGGAUGAUAAUGACAGUACCGGGAGAAUAAGCCCCGGCUAACUCCGUGCCAGCAGCCGCGGUAA
rnacentral:rRNA from 1 species